UUUCCGUAGGUGAACCUGCGGAAGGAUCAUUCUUAUUUAACGGUUGUGCGAGUUCUGUAGCUGAUCCGAACCGUCGGUCACGUCCGAGUGCCUUUCCUCAUGUACAUCUCACCCCUAUGAGCUCUUCCGCGACUGUCUGCCUGAGAACUAUUCGGAGGGAAGCUUACAUUUUCAACUAUCAUUAACGGAUCGCGUAGAUUGUAUUUUUUGUUUUUACGCAGCCGCAAGCAAUACAACUUUCAACAACUGAACUCUUUCCUCUCGCAUCGAUGAAGAACC
rnacentral:misc_RNA from 1 species